CCUACGGGUGGCAGCAGUCGAGAAUCAUUCACAAUGGGGGAAACGCUGAUGGUGCGACGCCGCGUGGGGGAAUGAAGGUCUUCGGAUUGUAAACCCCUGUCAUGUGGGAGCAAAUUAAUAAGAUAGUACCACAAGAGGAAGAGACGGCUAACUCUGUGCCAGCAGCCGCGGUAAUACAGAGGUCUCAAGCGUUGUUCGGAAUCACUGGGCGUAAAGGGUGCGUAGGCUGUUUCGUAAGUCGUGUGUGAAAGGCGGGGGCUCAACCCGCGGACGGCAGAUGAUACUGGGAGACUAGAGUAAGGGAGGGGGAAGCGGAAUUCGUGGUGUAGCGGUGAAAUGCGUAGAUAUCGAGAGGAACACUCGUGGCGAAGGCGGGUUCCUGGACAUUAACUGACGCUGAGGCACGAAGGCCAGGGGAGCGAAAGGGAUUAGAUACCCGUGUAGUC
rnacentral:rRNA from 1 species